rnacentral:rRNA from 1 species
CCUUGCCAGCCCGCUCAGAACUCAAAGGAAUUGACGGGGCCGCACAAGCGGUGGAGUAUGUGGUUUAAUUCGAUGCAACGCGAAGAACCUUACCUGGUCUUGACAUCCCGGAGACCCUUAGGAAACUAGGGGGUGCUUCCAUCUGGAAGAAUCUGGAGACAGGUGCUGCAUGGCUGUCGUCAGCUCGUGUCGUGAGAUGUUGGGUUAAGUCCCGCAACGAGCGCAACCCUUGCCUUUAGUUGCCAGCAGUUCGGCUGGGCACUCUAAAGGGACUGCCGGUGUUAAACCGGAGGAAGGUGGGGAUGACGUCAAGUCCUCAUGGCCUUUAUGACCAGGGCUACACACGUACUACAAUGGCCGAUACAAAGGGCAGCGACACUGCGAGGUGAAGCCAAUCCCGUAAAAUCGGUCUCAGUCCGGAUUGGAGUCUGCAACUCGACUCCAUGAAGUUGGAAUCGCUAGUAAUCGUGGAUCAGCAUGCCACGGUGAGUACGUUCCCGGGCCUU